rfam:TPA: Bos taurus chromosome 6, whole genome shotgun sequence.
UCCCUGAUAGCUCAGUUGGCAAAGAACCUGCCUGCAAUGCAGGAGACUCUGGUUCGAUUUCUGGGUUGGGAAG